GCCGCCGCCGCCCCGGAGCCUCACGGGCUCCCGAGGCUGUGGCCGCUGCCGUCGACGCCGGCGUCUUGGCUCUGGCGAGUGUAGCAGAGCAGCUGGGUCCUGGGCGGCCGGGAGGGGACUAGAGGAGCCUGACAACCGCUCUGGGGCGAGGGCGGCAGUAGCCCGCGCCAGGCGAUGCCGGGCAAGAGGCCCAGACGGCUGCGGCCGCAGUGCGCCGCGCGCGCAUGCGUGCUACUCUCCGCUCAGGCUGCACGGUCUAAACCGGCGCGCAGCAAGCUGUUCACACCCCUCCCUCCCUCGGCGCCCACCCUGGCGCGGACGCCUUCCCUCACUCUCAGUCGGUUGCGCUUCACGUCGCAUUCCAGCCUUUCCUUGCCCUUCCCGGCUCCAGAGCCUUGCAGGAUUUCUUAGCCUUGGGACCGCAUUCCAGAACGCACUUUUCAGCGCCUCUCUGUCGCCAGCCUCCUGCUUCUCUGUUCUUUUUUGCCCGAGGAGCAAGCAUCCCAGGAUGGGACGCUUCAUCGCCUGAUGGAACUUCAGCUGGACAGCUAUCCACAGGUCAUUGAACUGCGCGUUACUGUGGAACCCCGGUGGAAGAGCCCAUCCCUGGCACUUGCAGACUCCUCCAAGAGGGAGAAAGCAGGGCCGCGAAGCCCGGACACGACCUGGCUUCGUGAACCCAAGAAGACCUGUGUGUCCACCAGAUUUAGAAACUAAGACUCGAAGAACUUAUGCUGGGCAUGGCAGUGGAGGCUGAGGCAGGAGGAUCACCAUGAGUUCAAGGCUACAUAGUAAGUUCAAGGCCAGCCUGAACUACAUAGCAAGAAACUUGUCUCCAAAAAAAAAACCUUAGGACAUGGCCUAGAGUCAAGCAUCUUUUGUUGUUGUUGGAAUUGGAAUCAGAGGAAUUGGAUUUACAUUGUAUCUCUGCUUCUCAUGAACUGUGUUUACUGAAUAAGGACUUCAGAACUUAAGUUUGAUCAUCUGUAAAAUGGAGAUCUUUCCAAGUGUGUGAAAUUCAAAGUAGAUAAUACAUUUGAAACAAUUUUGUACAGCCAUGAAAUCUAAUGUGAGUGUAAGGUUUUACUGUUAUUAUAGCAUAGCGAUCACUUGAGUACCUAUUUUUCAUAGUGCAUGAUGCUAUAUAAAUCAUUGAACUUGAAGUCAUUGUCUUUUUUGGUACCGGGGAUCAAACUCGGGUCCUUGUGCUUGUGAGGCAGGCGGCGGAACCACUGAGCUAAAUACCCGGCCCUGAAGACCUUGUCUUUUCUCCCAGAGAUUGAGGUCUAGUUGAAAAGAUAAGACUGAUACAUUUAAAAUAAUAGCAUUCGACCAAAUAAAUAAAUAAAUAAAAUAAUAGCAUUUAUCACUAAGAAACCUCCUCCUAAGUCACCUCACUUCUUUCCAGUUCUGCUAUAAAAAAUGUGUUUACUCGAAAGCGUAAGGUCCCGAGUUCAAUCUCUUAAAAAAUGUGUUUAGAGCCUGGUAUGGUGAAUGGAUGUCUGUAAUCCUAGCACUCUGAGAGACUAGGGGAGGAAGAUCAUAAGUUUUAGCAACUUAGUGAAACUCUGUCUCAAAAUUAAAAAUAAAAAGUUUGGGGAUAUAGCUUAGUGCAAAGAUCCUGGGUUCAAUCCUUUGUAUAAAUAAAUAGAUAGGUAAAUAAUUAACUUGGUAUUUGACCCUGGUGGUUCCUGGCAGAGUACCUAAAGCCCUUAGAAUUUCCUGGAGUGGUAAGAUUACCUUUUGUUAUUCAUAACAAGUCCCUUUCAAUCAAAAUUUGAGCUAAGAAAUGACAAGAUAGAGUCCCUAGAUCACCUCAGAAUAGGCUGGUCACCAGAAAGAUGAAGUGAAUAGAAGACUAUACUUUUGUCUUACCCAUUAUUCUCAGAGGACAAGAAAGAGUACUGAACAUCAAACCCUUCAUCAGUGAGAUCCGCACUGGUGAGUAUCUCCACCUACAUCCAGGGACAUACUCCAAAAGUAAGGACAGAGAUGUCUAUGCUUGGGAUCCUUCUACAUCUCAUGCGAAGUCCUGCCUCAUCCAGCUAUUCAUUUGUAUUUUCAAUAAUAAAGUGGUAAAUAUAAGUAAA